GAUGAAGAACGCAGCGAAAUGCGAUAAGUAAUGUGAAUUGCAGAAUUCAGUGAAUCAUCGAAUCUUUGAACGCAUCUUGCGCUCCUUGGUAUUCCUUGGAGCAUGCCUGUUUGAGUAUCAUGAGCAAAUCUCAAAGUCAAUUCCUUUUGUUGAUUCAAUUGGUUUUGCUUUGGACUUGGAGGCCUUGCAGAUUUCACAGUCUGCUCCUCUUAAAUGCAUUAGCUGGAUCUCAGUAAUUAUGCUUGGUUCCACUCGGCGUGAUAAGUAUCACUCGCUGAGGACACUGUUAAAAAGGUGGCCAGGAAAAUACUGAUUGAACCGCUUCUAACGGUCUAUUAAGUUAGACAAUUACCCUUAAGUUUGAUCUCAAAUCAGGUAGGACUACCCGCUGAACUUAAGCAUAUCAAAAGCGGAGGA
rnacentral:misc_RNA from 1 species